rnacentral:misc_RNA from 1 species
AACUUUUGACAAUUGAUCUCUUGGCUCUCGCAUCGAUGAAGAACGCAGCGAAAUGCGAUAAGUAAUGUGAAUUGCAGAAUUCAGUGAAUCAUCGAAUUUUUGAACGCAUCUUGCGCUUCUUGGUAUUCCGAGGAGCAUGUCUGUUUGAGUGUCAUGAAUAUUUCUCAAUCAUACUUAGCUUUAAUCAGCUGAGUUUUGACUUGGAUUGUGGAUGUUGCAGGUUCAAUUUGAGAUCUGCUCUUCUGAAAUGCAUUAGCAUAAGUUUUUAAUCACUUAUCAUUGACAUGAUAAUAACUUUUUACUGUCAUUGAUGUGAUUUGACUCUGCUUAAAAUUGUUCUCUUACGCAAGCAAAGUUGAACUUUCUUUUGAAUUUGACCUCAAAUCAGAUAGGAUUACCCGCUGAACUUAAGCAUAUCAAUAAGCGGAGGCU